rnacentral:rRNA from 1 species
UACGGAGGGGGCAAGCGUUGUUCGGAAUUACUGGGCGUAAAGGGCGUGUAGGCGGAUCUGCCAGUCAGAGGUGAAAGCCCCGGGCUCAACCUGGGAACGGCCUUUGAUACUGCAGAUCUAGAGUCCGGGAGAGGAUCGUGGAAUUCCCAGUGUAGAGGUGAAAUUCGUAGAUAUUGGGAAGAACACCAGUGGCGAAGGCUGCGAUCUGGACCGGUACUGACGCUGAGGCGCGAAAGCGUGGGGAGCAAACAGG